CUCGUGCAGAUAUAUAUCUCUUCUCUUCUUCUUCUGAUGCCAUUUUCGUUUUCCCUCUUCUCACGCUCAGAUGAAAAGAACUGAGGUUUAGCAGCAUUGCCCAUCUGAUGCCAUUUUCUUGACCAUCUUCAAUGUCGAUUAACUUCAUGAGUGAUGACAGGAAGCAAAUUGGAAAGUAGGGCAAUUGAAAUGGGGACAAGAAGCGGUUCCUUUGGAAUGGGAUAGGUUUUGACCCUGUAAUGUUGACUCCGUGGAGUGAUGAAAAUCCAGGAAGAAGGUCUUUGUGUUGCAAGUUUUGGAAGGUGAACUGGACUGCUGAAUACCCUCCAUGCCUCCCAUGUAUGACAUCCUCAUAUGCUCAUCAAGCAUCUAAAACAACAUAUACAAGCACAUAAAUACUUUCCAAUAAGUUUUACUGUAUAUUUGUGUUUUUAAGCUAUACUUACAUGAACAUAAGUAAUUUCACUUUCUCAAACCCUUUGUAGGCUUAUGAUAUUUCUCUUUGUAUAGGAGCCUCCAUAGUGGGUGCCCCUUUCCUGUUUGCAUGAGCUAUUUCAUUCA